CCGCUUCUCAUUGGCCUCUCGCCGCGCCUCUUCAAAAUCACUGGCUGAAGUAAACGUCCCUCUAGCCUGCAUCCCGCCCCACCGCAUUGCAGCUCCCCCUUUCUUCUCCAGAUAACCGUUGGUUCACGCGAAACGCUGCAGCUCCUUUCUGUUCUCUUAUUGGCUCAUCAAUAUUGCCCAUCAUUAAAAUUUGAAAUCUCAUUGGUUGACGUCUCAACGAACUCCUUUCAUAUUUUAUUCUCAAAGGAAAGGGCGGGGGCGGCUUUGUCUCCUCGCCUGAAUUGUAUUGGCGAGAUGUGUUGCCUGUCACUCCGAUUGCUGAGCCCCAUUGGACACAGAAUCCCUGGCCUUUAUUUUGAUUGGUCAACCCGACGUCAUUUGCCCCUUUUCGGUUUGCAGCAAAGGGCCUUUGAGUGUUUCCGUUGUCAUUCAAAAGGCAAGAAGCUCCCGCCCACAACCAGUCUACGUCAACUAAGGGGAGUGGAUUGGCACUUGCUAGGAGCUAUUGAAUAAUCCAGUCGGAUCUGUGACAGCUGAUUGAAAGGAGAUGAUUAUGAUAUAAGAAGAGGAAGAAGGAUGAAGCCUCAUCAGAAGCCAGAUUUCCAGCUAAUCAGAGAUACAGCAAGCAUCUUCCUCCAAGGGCAGAUUAUUUGUACUUCGGUCCCAGUGGUGUCAAACUGCAUUAAAUCUACAAUGUAGAUGCCUCCAUGGUGAAAACGUUUCUGCUGUUGCAACGCAAUGGCUGCUGUGUCGAAACCGCAUUCCACCAGUUCAAAGGAGCAACCGGAGUGAGAGAAUUGGCCGCCUGCAAGGAUAUUGCCCAGGGGACGCCUGGAGGUUUUGAUGUUUUACCAUCUUUGUGGGAGGCUUCUCUUAUGUCCCCGCAUGGAGCUGGAGCUGACAGAGGGAGCUCAUCCGCGCUCUCCCUGGGUUGGAUUCAAACCAGCAACCUUCAGGUCACAAGACUUUAACCCACUGUGCCACCGGGGGAAAGCAUCUAGGCAAACUAAUGGAGCUGGAGCUGAAAGAGGGAGCUCAUCCGCACUCUCCCCAGGUGGGAUUCGAGCCUGGCAGCUUUCAGGCUCGGUUCCAGACGGCAAAAAUCCACCAACAAAGGAACACAACGGCCUCCAAAAGGUGGCACAGGGUCAGAAGAAGAUGACCCCGUCCUUCAACCUUGCUACAAAUGUUGGAGACAAAUCCCUAGAGAGCUUUCCCAUCGCACAAAAAGUGCAAAAGAAACCUCAAGGCAGUCAUAGCCAGGAUGGAGUAGCCCGUUGGUUCGUUUUCUCAUUUUCUGUAAAGGAGUGUAGCGUUUUCUCCCACGGGUUAUGAUGCAGUUUCCAUUGAGACCUUGGGACCUGGAAAUGGGCACAAACCUCCCCUGCAAAUGAGGAAUGCAUCCAAGACAGGAGUCAGAGAAUGAGUUGUUUGAAUACUUCACAUUAUAAUACACGUUGAAUAAUGAAGUUGGAAGAGACCCCCAAAGGCCAUCCAGUUAAAGCCGUCCCGACAGAUGGCCAACCAGCCUCUAUUAAAAAAAAACCUACAGAAGAGGAGACAUUGCCACAGUUCGGGGCAAAGAUGAGACACAUAUGGAGGUUUCCUUUCUUGGAGCAUCAGGGAUAAUGGCAGCAUAGUGAAGUGGUUUUGAGCAUUGGAAUACAUCUUAGGAGGUAAAGGUUUCCCCUGAUGUUAUGUCCAGUCAUGUCUGACUCUGGGGGUUGGUGCUCAUCUCCAUUUCUAAGCCAAAGAGCCGGCGUUGUCCGUAGACACCUCCAAGAUCAUGUGGCCAUAGGCAUGACUGCAUGGAGCGCCGUUACCUUCCCGCCGGAGCGGUACCUAUUGAUCUACUCACAUUGGCAUGUUUUCGAACUGCUAGGUUGGCAGGAGCUGGGGCUAACAGCAGGCAGUCAUUCCGUUCCCGGGAUUUGAACCUGGGACCUUUUGGUCCGCAAGUUCAGCAGCUCAGCGCUUUAACACAAUGUGCCACCAGGGCCCUACAAGGAUAUUAUAUGCUGGAUAGAGGUAGUUUCUGGCUGCUUGAGAGUUCCUAUUAAAAAUAGACCAAAUACUAUACCCAAUACUAUACUAAACCAUAAGCACUGUCUUGAUAUCAACACUGAAACACAGUUGUUCAAAGCAAAUGAGUACAAAUAAAAACAAACUUGUCGAAGGCUUUCAUGGCCAGAAUCACUGGGUUUCUGUGAGUUUUCCAGGCUGUAUGGCCAUAAUCCAGAAGCAUUCUCUCCUGAUGUUUCACCCACAUCUAUGGGAGGCAUCCUCAGAGGUGUUGGAAACUAGGCAAGUGGGGUUUAUAUAUCUGCGGAAUAAUGUUCAGGGUGGGAGAAAGCACUCUUGUCUGUUGGAGGCAAGUGUGAAUGUUGCUAUUGGCCACCUUGAUUAGCAUUGAAAAGCCUUGCAACUUCAAAAUUGCUUCCUUCCUGGGGGAAUCCUUUGUUGGGAGGUGUUAGGGGGCCCUGAUAGUUUCAUAUCUGGAAUUUCCAUGUGUUUGGUGUUAUUCUUUAUUUACUGGACAUUCCACAGAUAUAUAAACCCCACUUGCCUAGUUUCCUACAGACCUCACAACCUCUGACAAUGCCUGCCAUAGAUGUCGGCAAAACGUCAGGAGAGAAUGCUUCUGGAACAUGGCCAUACAGCCCGAAAGACAUACAACAACCCUAUUUCCAUUGCCUUGUGUUGUCGAAGGCUUUCAUGGCCGGGAUCACAGGGUUGUUGUAUGUCUUUUGGGCUGUGUGGCCAUGUUCCAGAAGUAUUCUCUCCUGACGUUUCGCCCACGUCUAUGGCAGGGUAUCUAUGGCAUACCUCACAACCUCUGACGAUGCCUGCCAUAGAUGUGGGCAAAACAUCAGGAGAGAAUGCUUCUGGAACAUGGCCAUACAGCAACCCAAAGACAAACUUACCUUAGGCAGGAGCUAUACUACCAUAUAAUCCAGUUCAAAGCAAAUAAUCUGGAUUCAGAAACUGGAUUAUAUGGCAGUGUAGACAAGGCCUUUAUAUAAAAGCAGUUUUAUUUAAAAUAUUAUUUAUUUGAUUUUUUUAAAAACAUUAUUAUUUGCUGUUUGCUUGAGUUUGUUAAGUGAGAGUCUACUGGACUUGUGCAAAGAGCCCUCGGAGGCAAGGGAGGGCAAAAGGGUGCGGAAAGGGAUUCUUGAAUGCCGUCUUUUAUUGCAGCGCUUUACAGAGCCGGUCGGCAAACUUUGGCCCACACUUUGCACAGUGAAGGUGACACCACUGCGAUUGUGCAAUGCGGGUGGGGAACAUUGUGGUUGAAGGCGUGCCUCCCUUCGAACAAGGCAGGGUUGUCCCUUGCACUGCGGACAGGUGAGCUUUGUCACCUGCAGGUGCGCAAAGGUGCAGCCAGAGAGCCAUGUGCUCCUAUCAGCCACACCUGUCGGCUUCCAUGCUCUGCUUUUCCUGUCCGGAUCCCUGGGCUUUGUACCUCCUUUGCAGGAAAUUCCACCGUUUUUCUUUUGUAACCUUUCCUGAAUCUCCAUGCUGGGAGAUAUUGUACAAAUCAAAUGUUUCUUUUCUCUUUUGGGGCCAACCAAAGUGUGCAAAAUACACCCCAGGACCUUUCAAAGUGGUUUUUUAAUGCGCUGUCAAGUUGAGUCUUAUAGUGCCUGUAUCAAUGUGUCCUCCGUCAUGGAAACCCUUGGGUGAGUCACACUCUCUCAACCUCGGAGGAAACUGAUGACGAAACACUUCUGAAGACAUCUUGCCAAGAUAAAAACAUGACUCAGAGCUGACUUGAUGUCCCAACAACUGUUUUACCCUGUUUCCCCUAAAAUAAGACAUCCCCAGAAAAUAAGACCUAGUAGAGGUUUUGCUGAAUUGCUAAAUAUAAGGCCUCCCCCAAAAGUAAGACCUAGCAAAGUUUUUGUUUGGAAGCAUGCCCGGCGCCCGCCAAACAGAACACCAGAGCAUGCAGGUUUGGUAAAUGUACAUAAUAAUGAUGAUGAUAAUAAUAAUAAUAAUAAUAAUAAUAAUAAUAAUAAUAAUAAUAAUACAUCACACGGUCCUAGACACUUGGGAAGUGUUCGACUUGUGAUUUUGUGAUAUGAAA